UGGUCUACUUAAUGAUUAAGAUAGUGGCU
rnacentral:piRNA from 1 species